GGCGGACGGGUGAGUAACGCGUAAGAACCUGCCCUUGGGAGGGGAACAACAGCUGGAAACGGCUGCUAAUACCCCAUAGGCUGAGGAGCAAAAGGAGGAAUCCGCCCAAGGAGGGGCUCGCGUCUGAUUAGUUAGUUGGUGAGGCAAUGGCUUACCAAGGCGACGAUCAGUAGCUGGUCCGAGAGGAUGAUCAGCCACACUGGGACUGAGACACGGCCCAGACUCCUACGGGAGGCAGCAGUGGGGAAUUUUCCGCAAUGGGCGAAAGCCUGACGGAGCAAUGCCGCGUGAAGGCAGAAGGCCCACGGGUCAUGAACUUCUUUUCUCGGAGAAUAAAAAAUGACGGUAUCUGAGGAAUAAGCAUCGGCUAACUCUGUGCCAGCAGCCACGGUAAGACAGACGAUGCAAGCGUUAUCCGGAAUGAUUGGGCGUAAAGCGACUGUAAGUGGCUUUACAAGUCCGCCGUCUAUCCCAGGGCUCAACCCUGGACGAGCGGUGGAAAUUACGAGCUGGACUACGGUACGGGCACAGGGAAUUUCCCGUGGAGCAGUAAUAUGCAUUGAUAUCUCACAGAAGAUCUGGCCAAGUCCUCUGCUGGGGCGACUGAACACUCACAGACAACAGCUACGGGAGCUCAUGGUAUUAAAUACUUGACUCAUCCUAUCCCUAAUCGAAGGAUACUACCUGCUUGGCCUGAUUCCCCCUUUGCGCUGCAGCUUAUGCGGUAUUAUCCCGCCUUGCGACUAUUUCUGCCCAACGAAGUCAGAUCAUUGCGUUAAUCGCC
rnacentral:rRNA from 1 species